GAUCUAGAUCUCUUGUUCUAGAUCUUGAAGAAGAAGAUCGCUGCACGAACUCUUUCGUGUAGAUCCAUCGGGUUCUGAAUCAGAUCACCAUGAAUAGAAGAAAAUUUUUUCUUCUUCUCUUUUUCUUUCUCUUUUUUCUUCUUAGAUCUGAUCUCUAUCACAUCUUGGCAUGGAGUAUGGAGGAAGGAGGGUAUUGGGGUGUGUCAAAAAGAAGGAAGUGGCGCAAGGAAAAAUAGACAUUUUAGAGCCAUCCCAACUCUCACGCACAUAUUCUCUCAAGCUCAAAAAUUUUGUCUCACCAAAUAUGAUCCCUUC
rnacentral:lncRNA from 1 species